rnacentral:lncRNA from 1 species
AACACCGAGGUGGAUUGUGCCAACUGGACUGAUUUCCAACGGGCCUUUGGGAAAUAAUGUUGCCUUGUCUUUGAAGGCAGUGAAAGGCAGCACGGAGACCCUGAUGUCCUCAGCUGCAUUGACACCAUCCCAGCAGGCACCCGAAGUGAGCCCAGUUACUGAGGAUGCUACAUUAAGAACAAAAUGUUUACUCACCACUGAACUCUAGAAGAAGGAGUCUCUGAAACUCUCACCUCGUAAAAACUCAACUCUUCUAACAUAUCUCCAUGGGAUCCUUCCAAAAGACUUGCUUGGGAUCAAACUCAUGCUGAACAGGAGUCAGCCAGCCAGCUGGUUUGCCAGGAUCCAGGAAGACACUUCUGCAUUUUUCACAAUCUAACUGGAACUGCAGUCUGAACUGGGAUAUAAAACCACAUGCACCAAAAGAUCCAUUUGAUCUUAUCCUUCAGGAGAAGCGCAAUGUUGUCACACUGGAGCUGGUUCUGAGCUGAGGAAAAGAAAACAGUUGUGUUCUGCUCGUGCUGGGUUAAUUGUUCCUUACCCUGAGCUGGCUCUGGUGCUGGAAGGUGCUGCAGAGC